GCACUCGUAGCUCAGCUGGAUAGAGUACAUGACUACGAAUCAUGUGGUCAGAGGUUCGAAUCCUCUCGAGUGCACCA
rnacentral:tRNA from 5 species